ACAAAAUCAGUAUGAAAAUGCUCAGCUUUACAUACUGGGGAUAAGAUAAUUUAGAUUUUGCUAAAAUGGGAAGUUUAUUUUAGGAACAACUAUGCAGGAAGUAUGGACCUGUGAUCAGGUAGCAGGCUGGGGUUUUAAAGCUAGCAGGUGACUGGGGAAGGCAGCAUCUACUUUGAGCAUUAGAGGAAAUUAAACAAAGCUCUGCCUCUGUGGGCCAUGUCACCCGGAGCUAUGGCUAGAGAAAGCCCAUAGGAGAGAGCAGAAGCAGAGAGAGCAGAGAGAAGAAAGGUUACUCUCUUCAGUCAAUAUCUCUCCUCUGGGGGCAUUUUAACUCCCUGGGGUGUGAACCAGAGGAGGGGGGACCAGCUGCUUGAAGCAAAUGCUCAGUGAGGUAAAGAAGUACCCAAGGGAUAAAAUAUCACAAGUAGGCAAAAGGCAGGCAGAGAGAGAGAGGAGGAAGCAGGCUCCCUGCCGAGCAGAGAGCCCGACGUGGGACUUGAUCCCAGGACCCUGGAAACAUGACCAGAGCCCAAGGCAGAGGCUUUAACCCACGGAGCCACCCAGGAGCCCUUUUCCACAUCUUUAAGGGACUUGUGUGGCGGCUUCUUAAUGCUCAGUUUUAAGCUUGUCUGUGGACUACUUUUUGGGAAUUGAGGCCAUGUCUACACUAAGCAUGUGCACCCUUCCUACUCUCCAGCUUCCCAGAGAUUGGACCACUUGUUGGGGAACAGCAACAUUCUAUGUUUAAGCUAAGCUACACAGUAAAAUUACGAUUACUUAUCCUUUUA